rnacentral:ncRNA from 1 species
CCUCGGGGGGCCAGAAAUGGCUGAGACGCAUACUGCGGACCCGUUGAACCUGAACCGGAUCAUGCCGGCGUAGGGAAGGUGC